rnacentral:rRNA from 1 species
UACGGGGGGGGCAAGCGUUGUUCGGAAUUACUGGGCGUAAAGGGCUCGUAGGUGGCCAACUAAGUCCGACGUGAAAUCCCAAGGCUUAACCUUGGAACUGCGUCGGAUACUGGAUGGCUUGAAUUCGGGAGAGGGAUGCAGAAUUCCAGGUGUAGCGGUGAAAUGCGUAGAUAUCUGGAGGAAUACCGGUGGCGAAGGCGGCAUCCUGGACCGACAUUGACGCUGAGGAGCGAAAGCUAGGGGAGCAAACGGG